CCUACGGGUGGCAGCAGUGGGGGAUAUUGCACAAUGGGGGAAACCCUGAUGCAGCGACGCCGCGUGAGUGAAGAAGUAUUUCGGUAUGUAAAGCUCUAUCAGCAGGGAAGAAAAUGACAGUACCUGACUAAGAAGCCCCGGCUAACUACGUGCCAGCAGCCGCGGUAAUACGUAGGGGGCAAGCGUUAUCCGGAUUUACUGGGUGUAAAGGGAGCGUAGACGGUUUUGUAAGUCUGGAGUGAAAGGUCGGGGCCCAACCCCAGGACUGCAUUGGAAACUGUGUAACUGGAGUACAGGAGGGGCAGGCGGAAUUCCUGGUGUAGCGGUGAAAGGCGUAGAUAUCAGGAGGAACACCGGCGGCGAAGGCGGCCUGCUGGACUGAAACUGACGUGGAGGCUCGAAAGCGUGGGGAGCAAACAGGAUGAGAUACCCCGGUAGUC
rnacentral:rRNA from 1 species